rnacentral:lncRNA from 1 species
UGACCUUUCUCUGUCACUUCUCCGAGUUUUGAAAAACUCACAAUACUUUAAGGAACAAUACCUAGCCUUUCUGAUGACACAAUGAAUUCCUGUGCAUUCCAAUCUUAGAAUCUGUAGGGCAUGGAGACUGCUCUGUGGCACAACUAGAGAAGGAGAGAUGUGGGGGACAGUUGGAAGAGUGGUAAAGCAGUAGAGGCAGAAUGCUCAUUUUGGUAAUCAAGGAGCACCAACAGCUGGUUCCUGUUGAAUGCCAUCAGGAUGAUUCAGCCACCCACCAGGAACACCAGUAACAGCAAGUGCACGCACAGAAAUCUGCAAAACUUUCUUCUUUUGAUGCCAACACUAUUACUCUGGCAAAGUCAAAACCCUUUAUGGAUUUACCAGUUCAACUAAAUGUGACCUUGUUCCCCUCACAAAUACCAGCUCACUCUCAAAUAAACACAACUUCUGGCUGAUUAAAAUGCAACGUUCUUCCACAGUUGAGUGCACCCUGCAGUGAGUCCCUCCUCUGUGCUGUGUCUACAUUCUCUCCCUUUUUCAUUUUUUCACUGUUCAAUGAAACUUCAAAGGAUGAAUGAGAUCCAUAUACACUCAGAGUCCACCUUGUAUGUUGUCCUGCUUACUGCUGACCACAUGCAUUUAAAGUUAUGCCUCAAGUUGUUUUAUUGUUUCUAUUUUUAAGAAGUUUUCCAUUUCCACAGAAUGUGGUAAUAUGCCUUGAAAAACAGAAAUGUGUAGAUAAACUGUGCUGACCACAGACUUCAUUAAUACAUGAUUUCCAUGCCAUACUCUAGCCAGUUAAAAAUUCUAUACCUUCCUCCUUCAAAUCUAGACCAGAUUACAGACUUAAAGGAAGAAAAUGCCAAAGAUGACAGCUAGCUAUCAAAAAUGUUCUAGUGCCUCAUUUUCAGGUCUCCAAAGUAAAAUCUAAGGGCAUUCGACAAAGAUUCAGGUGCUCUCAAUAGCCAUGAAAAUAUAUGGCUGAAGAGGGAAUCUGUAAAUGUAAUGAAUACACAAUUGGCUUAUAACAGAUGCAACCAAAAUUAAAUUCAAGAUCUUGACCUACUCUUCAAAGUGAAAGUUUUUAGUUCAUGCUACAGAGAG